rnacentral:lncRNA from 1 species
CCGAGUCCUACAGCUGACCGGUACGGUCCGCCCCCACGGCGUGACCGACCUCCCCUACCAAGAGCAGGCUGACGUCCCUACCUCCGCCAUGGAAGUCGUCGUCCAAGCUACAGACGAGGCAGCGCGCGUGAGCAGCAGAGCGACACGUAAGCAUCAGAGGAAUGAGUGUUUUAAUUAUCACCAAAUGUGUGUGCAGUUCGUAAAAUUUUAAUGUGUUUACUGUGCAGCGGCAGAGGAUCCACCGCACGGUGCGUCACCUACCGAAAUGGUGGCCGCUGCACCUGUGUUGCAGCACCCUGUUCGGCCACCACGUCGACAGCGACCGCGACGGGUGGAUACCUUGACGACGAUGUCGUCGCAGUACGCCCGCAGCGUGGAACAGGGCGACGAGAUACUGCAGGUGCUGCGGAGAAUCGAGGCCUCCACCACCCGCCUCGCUGUCGCAGCAGAGCGGGCGGCAGC